rfam:Helobdella robusta unplaced genomic scaffold HELROscaffold_97, whole genome shotgun sequence.
GUUGGGUACGGAGACAUGCGGCCCAUAAGUCCAUGGGGUAAAUUAGUGGGGUCGCUGUGUGCCAUCGCUGGCGUGCUGACCAUCGCCCUGCCAGUGCCUGUGAUUGUUUCCAAC